UCACCCUUGCUUACUACUGCUUAGAAGAGGAAGGUGUGUAAAGUUUUCUGAAGAUGAUGCUGAGUUCUAGGUGUACGCAGUCCCCAGUCGAUUGCCUGUGAAGUUUGGAGCCUCCGUUUCUAGGGUUAAGGUAUAUAUCUCUGUCAGACUCGUAAGUCUUUAUUUAUAUUCCUUUACGUGAUACUGUUGUUGUUAUUCACUAAUGAUAUCACUAUAUGUAUAAAACUAGAUCCUGUUAUACAUAUAGGUAGCACUUGGUUUUGUUUUAAAAUCGGGUGUGACACCUCCCCUCACGCAUCAGCCCCUUCUCUCUCACCCCACGCUCACCCCUUCCCCACACGUAAUUAUUCACUCAUCCCCCUCAUCCGGCCUCUCACCCGUGCCUCUCUCUCUUCUUCUCCCCGUCGAAUCCCC
rnacentral:lncRNA from 1 species